rnacentral:rRNA from 1 species
UUGGAGGGCAAGUCUGGUGCCAGCAGCCGCGGUAAUUCCAGCUCCAAUAGCGUAUAUUAAAGUUGUUGCAGUUAAAAAGCUCGUAGUUGAACUUCGGGAUUUGCCCAUUGGUCAGGCUUAACUGUCUGCACUGGUGAGACGAAUUCCUACCUUCUGAGGAAUCUCCGUGCCAUUCAGUUGGUGUGGGGGGGAAUCAGGACUGUUACUUUGAAAAAAUUAGAGUGUUUAAAGCAGGCAUCCGUCUGAAUACAUUAGCAUGGAAUAAUAAAAUAGGACGGUUUGGUUCUAUUUUGUUGGUUUCUAGGAUCACCGUAAUGAUUAAUAGGGAUAGUUGGGGGCAUUAGUAUUCAAUUGUCAGAGGUGAAAUUCUUGGAUUUAUUGAAGACUAACUACUGCGAAAGCAUUUGCCAAGGAUGUUUUCAUUAAUCAAGAACGAAAGUUAGGGGAUCGAAGACGAUCAGAUACCGUCGUAGUCUUAACCAUAAACUAUGCCGACUAGGGAUCGGACGAAGUUAAUUUUUAAAUGACUCGUUCGGCACCUUACGGGAAAC